GCGGGCGUAGUCUAGCGGUAAGACAACCCCACAUAGCCUAUCUCAGGAAUCAAAACUAAUCGCCACCCAGGUUAUGAUGUGUCCUUUACAGCCUGUAAAUCGGACAAGGUCGGGAGUUCGAGCCUCCCCGCCCGUA